GUCACUGUGCCCGUGGCGACGGCCCUCCUGACUCACACACGCUCCCCGCACGCGUCGCUCUGCCCGUGGCGACGGCCUUCCUGACUCACACACACAACCCGCACGCGUCGCUCUGCCCACGGCAACAGUGUUCCUGCCUAUCAUCACAACAGGCGACUCAAGAACGUGACGUCAUGUGGACCCCGUGACCAAAACCAGGCCCAUACUACGCCCGUGAUGUUUCCUCUUUCAGGGUGCUGAGACCUGAGACCACACCUGACCUGCCCGGGGCGGCACAGUGAGGGUGACCUGUACCUCUGCUUUACCUGUGUGUCCUCUCUGAUGAGGAAAAGAGGCAGACCACAGAUGCAAACAGGCUGGGAUGCACUCCUCACAGGCUCUCCUGUGCCCAGCGUGCCUGGUCCCACCUCACCUCACCAGAGGGAUGUGCGGAUGCCAGGUGACUUGGGCACAGCUCCUCAGAGGGCAUUCUGGGAAAAGGCACAGCAACUUACAUGGGAUUUGACUUCCACAUCGUAUACCAAGCUGUCCCAAAGCCCAUGG
rnacentral:lncRNA from 1 species